rnacentral:rRNA from 1 species
UACGAAGGUGGCAAGCGUUGUUCGGAUUCACGUGGCGUACAGGGUGUGUAGGCGGUUUGGUAAGCCUUCUGUUAAAGCUUACGGGCCCAAGCCCGGAAAGCGCAGAGGGUACUGCCAGGCUAGAGGACGGGAUGAGGAGGCGCGGAAUUCCUGGUGUAGCGGUGAAAUGCGCAGAUAUCAGGAGGAACACCGGUGGCGAAGGCGGGUCUCUGGGCCGAUACUGACGCUGAGGAGCGAAAGCGUGGGGAGCGAACAGG